rnacentral:ncRNA from 1 species
CAUGUGACUGACGGAAGUGGAAUCAACCACGGGGAGCAUGAUUCGUAUUAGCCGACCGUCUGGGCG